CGGCGCGGCAGAAGCCGCCGCUCCCUGCGCGUCCCGCGGCGGUGCGGACGCCUCCUCCGGGACGGGGCUGCCCGAUCGCUCUCCGGUCCCUGCGCUCCGGCGCUGCCGCUCCCGCGCCGACGAAAGGCGGGGGAUUUCCGUUCUCCCGGCCCCGGUGGGGGAACGCGACCUGUUCGCCGGCACGCGUGGAGCCGUCCCGGGGCAGGAGCUCGGAGUUCUUCCAAAGCUCCUCGACAUUUCAUGUUCAUUCAUGCACUGCCCCGUGCCCAGUUCAUUUAACCGGCCCCCAGAUUACCCUAUUACCGCUCUCAAACUGUUUACCCGUUCAUCCACGGCUGAAGCAGAGAAAAGGGCACCUCCUGACACCAUGGACAGCGCAAGGGACAGAAUUACCCAAAGAAUAAGACAGCAAGAUCCCUUUCCAAGGAGAUUGGCACAGGUUUAUACACCUGGUCACAGGCACCUGGCACCCCUCUAACACUGCUCCCACCACUGGACAGAAGAGGCAAAAAUGGGGCUGUGAAAGUGUUCUGAUGACAUCAGUAUGCUUCCCUGGCAACAAAUACUAUAUCCUACCUACUCGUUCAUCAGUACAAUUGGGUAAAAACAGAAAAUGUGGAAAGGAGUAUGGCAACACUGAAGUACAGAGAUCUCAAUUGCUGAAUAUCAGUGGUACAAGACAGGGAUACUUCCUGCUGAACCAUACGAUGAUACUCCAAACAAGGAAUCUAUAACUAGAUUUAAUGAGAUUAGGAACCCCAAACAGGACUCCAUUGAAAGUGGGCUUAGGAGAAGAAUCCUCUCUCUGAUGCUCUGAAACACUGCAAAUGGGAGUUUUCUAGCAUAAUCAAAAUCAUCUAACAAGCCAAGAAGUGCAAAACAUAUCUUUCCACAGAGUUCUCCAUAGCAAGUUUAAAGCCUUAAUUUUUGACCUUUAAAGCACUAUGUGGUCUCUCUCUCUCUUUUUUUUUUUUUUUAAAUAAAUACAAAUUAGAUAGCUACAGUAUUGAAGUUCUUUACAAAAAUCCCACUGGGUAUCUAUCUUUGAAAAUCUGGCACUAACCAAGUUUUGAGCUAAAUCCUAAGUGGCCUAGAUCCCAACCUCAGAGGAGGUUAGGCUAGCACAGAAUCCUAACCACAAAAGCAUGAGGGCAGUAAGCCAACAAUGCCAGUUUAAGCACUGCUGGCAGGACUGUGUCCCCUUACACAUCUCCCCUCUGAGCCUCAUGGCUCAGAGUGAGGCCACAAGAGUGGCAGCAGGUCUGUCUUGUCCAGUUACAGAUUCUGCACAGCAACUCAGCCAGUGUGUACUCUUGUAUUUGCUGGGCUCAGCCAGGGCUUUAAGACAGG
ensembl:lncRNA